rnacentral:lncRNA from 1 species
UUAUAUACAUAAUCUAUACCAACAAGCCACUAGAAAUUUGGAUGUAUAAAACAACAGACACAUUUAACACCUUGGGAGUCCAGGUGAGGUUUAUUGAAGUCCUCUGCCAGGCUGCAAUCAAAGUGUGGGCCUGAGCCGAGUUCUCAACUGGAGGCUUCACUGGGGAAAGCUGUGCUUCCAAACUCACUCAAGUGUUGCCAGAAUUCAAUUCCUUGUGACUGUAAGUUUGGGAACUCUAGCUCUUGUUGGGUGGAAGCUGGAAGCUGUCCUCAGCACCUAGUCGUAGGCCUGGGCUUCCUGCCACACGGGCCUCCUGACAUGGUCACUUAUUAUACUUCUUCAAAGCCAGCAAGGGAGACAGUGUCUAGAGGCAGUCAUCUAGCAAGAUGGAGACUUACAACAUGAGGCACAUACAAGAGUGACCUCCCAUCGUCUUUGAGGCAUUCUAUUUCUUGUGUCUUUGUGAAGCUUCCUAUCUUUGCUUUUCAACUAAGAUGAAACAGCAUUUAAAAGAAAAUGCCAUGUGAGAUGAGAUCAGGAGAAUGGAUUCUUUCUUUCAUCUGAAUAGAGAGCUGCUGUUCGAGGCUGACCCAAGUUAUGUAGCAGAAAGGAGGCCUCUCUCAACUUAGCUGACCAGCCUGAAUUCCUAACCAUAAAAAGAAGAACCUCACCAUUUAUCUCCUUGAAGUCGUGUCUUCCAAGGCUGUUGAAGCAGAACUCUAGCAUUCCUUAAGGACUUCAUCAUCUUUCAAGGUUGCUAAAGGGAGACUUUGGUGUUUCUGAUAAGAACCGAACCAGAUGCAGCCAGCUGAAGAUAAGAUGGACUCUAGAACUGACCUUUCAUCAACUUUUUUUCUUAUUAUAAUACUAAAAUCUCUGCCAAAGGUGGAGCUAAUCUGCCGCUCUCAGAUCACUCUAUGUCAGUUAGGGCGUAAUGUCUCAUUGCACAAGCUCUAAGAAAACCCCUAAACAUGCUUGCACAUCACUCCUUUUUCUGCCUCUACUUCUUUAAGAUGACUAGAGCUGGGCCCUUUGGGGAAGGAGCAUCAGGACCCCUCCCCUGUAUGCUGCUCCCUGGCACAUCUCCAGUCGCAAGCCUAUUAAACCUUGCCUAGGAAAAUUGGUUUGUCCUGGAGCUAAUUUUUACUUAGAGAGAGCCAAGGAACUUGAGGUCCAGUUGCAACAACAAAUAAGCAAGUCAGUGGACCUUCCUGGAUUCUCACAGCCUGCGUGGAAGAACAUACUUCCUAGGAUGCAGUGUGAACAGUCAUCACUGGUAGUCAUGAAGGGUAUGACUGACAUCUCUGUGGACGUCCCAUUUCCAGGGAGCAGGUGGGAGCUGCGUCACUUCCAUCUGUUAGCCAGGGGACCUGCCAAAGGUGCAUCCUCCAGGAUGUGGCAUGUGGUGGGUCUGAGCCGAGGUCCAGCUGCUGAGGGCAGCCACUGAAAUAGCCAGCAUAGACCUUGAGCAGGCUACAUCAGUAAAUAGAUGGAUCCCAAUUCAGUGGAUUUGUAUUGCAGCUGGAUAGCCUCCUCACCCCUCUCUCCCCACCCCACACUUUGCAUAUAAGCUCAUCAACACCCCCAUGAGAAAUGGGAGAAAUAACCCGUGAUGCUGGAACAUAAAGGUUAAGUUUUGUACCUUUUAAACCUGUGACAGGAGUUCUUAUAAAAAAAAGAUAAUGUACACCUAUCCCUCACCUAAUGGCUUUUAUUUGUACCUGAAAGCUCUGUCAUUAAGUGCAAAGCCAGUAAACAAAAGACAAAUAUAAUUUGUU